rnacentral:rRNA from 1 species
CCUACGGGGGGCUGCAGUGGGGAAUAUUGGACAAUGGGGGGAACCCUGAUCCAGCCAUGCCGCGUGUGUGAAGAAGGCCCGCGGGUUGUAAAGCACUUUCAGUGAGGAAGAACGCCUGGUGGUUAAUACCCAUCAGGAAAGACAUCACUCACAGAAGAAGCACCGGCUAACUCCGUGCCAGCAGCCGCGGUAAUACGGAGGGUGCGAGCGUUAAUCGGAAUUACUGGGCGUAAAGCGCGCGUAGGUGGCUUGAUAAGCCGGUUGUGAAAGCCCCGGGCUCAACCUGGGAACGGCAUCCGGAACUGUCAAGCUAGAGUGCAGGAGAGGAAGGUAGAAUUCCCGGUGUAGCGGUGAAAUGCGUAGAGAUCGGGAGGAAUACCAGUGGCGAAGGCGGCCUUCUGGACUGACACUGACACUGAGGUGCGAAAGCGUGGGUAGCAAACAGGAUUAGAUACCCUGGUAGUC